CCUACGGGAGGCAGCAGUGGGGAAUAUUGGACAAUGGGCGAAAGCCUGAUCCAGCAAUUCCGCGUGUGUGAAGAAGGCCUUCGGGUUGUAAAGCACUUUAGUGGGGGAAGAAACAGCUUGGCCACACCAAGCCUUGACGGUACCCCAAGAAUAAGCACCGGCUAACUCUGUGCCAGCAGCCGCGGUAAUACAGAGGGUGCAAGCGUUAAUCGGAUUUACUGGGCGUAAAGGGUGCGUAGGUGGUUUUUUAAGUCGGAUGUGAAAGCCUGGGGCUCAACCUCAGAAUUGCACUCGAUACUGGGAAACUAGAGUUCGGUAGAGGGCGGCGGAAUUUCCGGUGUAGCGGUGAAAUGCGUAGAUAUCGGAAGGAACAUCAAUGGCGAAGGCAGCCGCCUGGGCCUGGACUGACACUGAGGCACGAAAGCGUGGGUAGCAAACAGGAUUAGAUACCCUGGUAGUCCACGCCGUAAACGAUGAGAACUUGACGUUGGUUCGUUUUGCGAAUCGGUGUCGCAGCUACGACGAUAGUUACGUCCGUCCGUCGGGUAGGUACGGCCGCGACGGUAGUAACGUACAACUAGAAGUUAGACGGCGUGAGACGUGCCGACGGACGACGACGAGGGAGGUAGG
rnacentral:rRNA from 1 species